GAUGAACGCUGGCGGCGUACCUAAUACAUGCAAGUCGAGCGAACAGACGAGAGUGCUUGCACUCUCUGACGUUAGCGGCGGACGGGUGAGUAACACGUGGGUAACCUACCUAUAAGACUGGGAUAACUUCGGGAAACCGGAGCUAAUACCGGAUAAUAUUUAGCUUCGCAUGAAGCAAUAGUGAAAGACGGUUCUGCUGUCACUUAUAGAUGGACCCGCGGUGUAUUAGCUAGUUGGUGAGGUAACGGCUCACCAAGGCAACGAUACAUAGCCGACCUGAGAGGGUGAUCGGCCACACUGGGACUGAGGAACGGCCCAGACUCCUACGGGAGGCAACAGUAGGGAAUCUUCCGCAAUGGACGAAAGUCUGACGGAGCAAUGCCGCGUGAGUGAAGAAGGUUUUCGGAUCGUAAAACUCUGUUGUAAGGGAAGAACAAGUACGUUAGUAACUGAACGUACCUUGACGGUACCUUACCAGAAAGCCACGGCUAACUACGUG
rnacentral:rRNA from 1 species